UGGGGAAUAUUGGGCAAUGGGCGCAAGCCUGACCCAGCAACGCCGCGUGAAGGAAGAAGGCUUUCGGGUUGUAAACUUCUUUUCUCAGGGACGAAGAAAGUGACGGUACCUGAGGAAUAAGCCACGGCUAACUACGUGCCAGCAGCCGCGGUAAUACGUAGGUGGCAAGCGUUAUCCGGAUUUACUGGGUGUAAAGGGCGUGUAGGCGGGAAAGCAAGUCAGAUGUGAAAACCAUGGGCUCAACCUGUGGCCUGCAUUUGAAACUGUUUUCUUGAGUACUGGAGAGGCAGACGGAAUUCCUAGUGUAGCGGUGAAAUGCGUAGAUAUUAGGAGGAACACCAGUGGCGAAGGCGGUCUGCUGGACAGCAACUGACGCUGAGGCGCGAAAGCGUGGGGAGCAAACAGGAUUAGAUACCC
rnacentral:rRNA from 1 species